AGCGUUAGACGAAGAAAAAAAUACGACCGUUGGAAAUAGUAGUAGUAACAGAGGGAGGCUCGUGUAACAUUCUCUAAGCUCUUCUCUAGAAAAAUAAGACCGUUGGUAAUACUCAGUGUUUCUCCAAAUUCAAAUAAUUUAAAUAAAUUCACAACUCGCUGCUCUGAUUCUGUUCUCUCCGGCGAUUCCUUCUCCAGUGUUUGGAUUUCUUUAUUCGUUAUUGCUUGAAGUUUUGUUUCUGUGUAUUAUUCAACUCAUAAGAGAUUGAUGAUGAUAUGGGCAUUCUCAAUCUGAUUCUGAAGCAGGGCAUUUUCCCCAAGUCAAUGAGUACUUCAUCACCAUCAGGUUGAGUUUGAUGACAUGACGACGAAGGGCAUGCAGCUGGAGAGUGGGGGCGUUUAUGCUCUCCUCAAGCAGUUUUGGAAGUGGGGAAUUUCGUAAUAGAUAUAGAUCAACUGAGGAGCUCAAAAAAGCCAUAAAGAAUGUAGUUGAUGGGCUUUUGAGGGCUUUGACAUCUCAGCUGCUACAGGUCGAGAAUAAUUCCUGUUGGUGAUGAAGAUGAUAUUGUCAUUGAGGCUGAUUAAUGAAGCAUUUUCCAUGAUUAAGGGGAUUAAAAAGAAAUGAGCGAUCAUAUCCGAACCAGUAUGCAUUUUCUAUGAGCAGGAAGAGUACCUUCUUGCUAUAUCACUGGUUCUUAAUGUCAAGAGGUGCCGUCAGAAGCGCAUGUGUUCAUUGUUAUACUCACCGACAAGACACCCUCAGAAAUACUCCUACCAGGUGAAAAGGAUUGGAAGAUCUGGAUGCAUAGAUGUUUAAGGUGUCCCUGGACCAAUGGUUUUCUCCAGCUACUCGAAGAGUAUCUCUGAAAUUUUUGGAGCUCAGUUUUUCAAAUCAUGCAGCAGCAAGCAGAGAGUGGUCAGCCGCGGUCAUUCUCUACACAGGGAUUUUCUUCGUUUUUAUGGGGAAUGAGAAUGAAGCAUCCAGACGCAUCAAAACUGCAUUUCUUGUGCAUAUGCAGCCCACAAAUACUCCAUAGUUUCUUUAUAAUCAAUGAACAAUGCUAAGUGAAUUAGGCGGCAGUUUCGACAAGCGAAUAUGCAUACCUCUCCCAGAUCUGAAAGCCAGGCAGCACAUGUUCAAGGUACUAUUUCUGAAAUCAUCUAGGCCUUUAAUUUAUUUUCAUUAUUACUAGGAUUGGAUACAGGUCACGAGCAGGUCUCGGAGAUAGAUUCACAACUUACGGGGAUGUUAAUUGAUGCAAAAGGCCUGCGUCAAAGGAAUUUAGUUGAGGCUCAAACUGAAUAGGCCCAGCAGUAGCAUGUCCCAUUUUUCGCAACAACGGCUAGAAAAAUCGAAAUUGAAAAGCAUAAAAGCAACAGCGUUAGACGAAGAAAAAAUAUGACCGUUGGCAUAACAUUCUCUAAGCUCUUCUCUGAAAAAAUAAGACCGUUGGUAAUACUCAGUGUUUCUCCAAAUUCAAAUAAUUUAAAUAAAUUCACAACUCUCCGCUCUGAUUCUGUUCCUUCCUGCGAUUCCUUCUCCAGGACCGAAGACUGUUCAAGAUUUUGUGAUUUGCCAAGAAGAAGAAGAAAGAAUCAGAUAUGGCUUCAUCAAUUCCAUUUCUUCCUCAUGUGUUUUUCUUAUGGUAUCAAAUUCUUCUGUACUUCGAAAGACCUUCAAGCUCAAUAGAGAUGUAACAACUGAUUUCCUGACACUUGAAAUCUUGAUAUACAACAUUAGCCUCAAGUUUUCAUCAGGCGGUCUCAAUCCACGGGGAAACUCUAAUGGGAGAAAAUUGUACAAUGUUGCUACGAAGUUUAGUAAAGCUGCUAUCUCUUAACCAUAGUCUGGAUGUUAGUACUCCACCAUCAGCUGCUAGUUUGGCCAGCUCUAAGCCACUUGGCUUGAUGCCAGGCUGGGCGCUAUUAACGAGCUCAACCAAUUGAGCUGAAAUGGAUAUAAAUUUAGAAAAACUGAGAGAUGUCACAUUGGCCAUGUCGUAGAAAUGAGCGAUCAAUAUCUGGACCAGUAUGCAUUUUCUAUGAACAGGAUUGAUGAUGAUGGAUGUGUUUUCAAUCUGAUUCUGAAGCAAGGCAUUUCCCCUAGUGAAUGAGUACUUCCAUCACCAUCAGGUUGAGUUUGAUGACAUGACGAUGAAGGGCAUGCAGCUGGAAAGUGGGGGCGCUUAUGCUCCUCAAGCAGUUUUGAAAGUGGGGGAUUUCGUAAUAGAGAUAUUGAUCAACUGAGGAGCUCGAAAAAGCCAUAAAGAAUGUUGUUGAUGGGCAUUUCAGGGCUUUGGUAUCUCAGCUGCUACAGGAGAUGUCACUUGGGGUUGGAGCAAUGGCCAUGUUGCAGAAAUGAGCGAUCAGUAUCCAAACCAGUAUGCAUUUUCUAUGAACAGGAAAUAGAUCACCUAAAGAUGGCAGUAGCAAAGAUGGAUGCCCGCCAAUUUGCAUACGAGUACCUUCUUGCUAAAGAUAUAUCACUGGCUGUUAAUGUCAAGAGGUGCCGUCAGAAGCGUAUGUUCAUUGUUAUACUCAUCGACAAGGCACCCUCAGAAAUACUCCUACCAGGUGAUAAGGAUUGGAAGAUGUGGAUGUGGCACAGAUGUUUAAGUUGUCCCUAAGGAUUGGAAGAUGUGGAUGUGGCACAGAUGUUUAAGUUGUCCCUGGACCAAUGUUUUUCCUCCAGCGACUCGUCAGUUUUUCAAAUAAUGCAGCAGCAAGCAGAGACACAGGGACUGUCUUCGUUUUUAUGGGUAUUUUAUCUUUUUUGUCUGCUGCACCGAUGAAGUGCCUUUUUAGUCACCCACAGUGUGUUCCUGAUGCUGAAAAACAUCACAAUCAUUACAAGUUCCAUUCAUUUUAAUGAAUCCUCAAUAUGUUUAUGUAGAUGUUUCUCAUGAAUUUUACAUGUGCAGAUUUGGGAAUAUGGUUGCAUGCAAGAAGAAACAAAUGGGGUGCAAUAGUUUUUUAAAAAAUGCAUUCUAUAUUUAUUUCUCAUUUUUAUUUGCUCUUGUUCCUUUUAUGUUUUCUAAAUGACUACAUCAAUUUAACUCUAUACUAUUUUUCUGUGGCCAAUGCAAAUAGGCACUUAAAUAUUCUGUCUUGGAUUUGUGGUAUAUUUAUAAAUUGCAUAUGAAAAUGUGGUCCCCUUUUUUACAUUUUCAUUUCAGAUAAUUGUUUUGUGCUUUGUUUUUACUCUAAUGAAUUAAAUCUGUCUUGUGACUUUGUGGUAUUUGCCUAUACUUGAACUUGAUAUUUUUAUGUUUCUCGAUGUUUAUGUUGCUCUUCCUGCGAAUCUCUUCGCUUGCCCCAUCUGACAGCACAUUGGCUGCUCUAGGUUUGCAGUAUUUCACACCUUGUUUCCAACUGGAUGGUGAAAGUGAAAAGCUAGUUUCAAAUCUUUUUUUGCAUGGCUCGUGUUACUGAACCUUCGAUCAUUUUCAUUGAUGAUGUGCAGGGGCAUCAAAACUGCAUUUCUUGUGCAUACGCAGCCCACAAAUACUCCAUUAUAAUCAAUGAACAAUGCUAAGUGAAUUAGGCGGCAGUUUUGACAAGAGAAUAUGCAUACCUCUCCCAGAUCUGAAAGCUAGGCAGCACAUGUUCAAGGUACUAUUUUUGAAUCAUCUAGGCCUUUAAUUUAUUUUCAUUAUUACGGGGAUCGGAUACAAGUCAUGAGCAGGUCUUGGAGAUACACACAGGUGAUUUCACUCGUCAAAGGUUUCUCAGUUUCAGACUGUACUUGAUGCAGCGUCAAAGAUUUCUAACCAGAUAGUCGUAGAAGGAGAAAACAAAAAUAAAUUACAAGAGACUGUUCUUCAAGUACUCAACCAAGUUCUUCAGCUAUCCAAGACUGGGUAGCAUCUCUUUCCAAAUCGCCAGAAAUACUACUGGCAUUAUAAAAUCUCACAAACAAGCCAGCACCAGCGUCAACAUCAGGUAUAACAUCUGAACUUGUUUCUACAAACAAAAAGAAGGGAAUUUCAGUACAAAAAUCCGCUUCUCAAUUUUUUUACAAAGCGACUCAACAUAAUCUUCACAGAUUAUUUUAAGUCAACAAAAUACAAAAUUACUUUUUCAAUAUUUUUUGAAAACAAAUUUUCAAAAUGUAUUAACCAUAUAAGAAGAUUUUUUUCAUAAAAAUCCCCUCAUGGCAGUACAAUUUUUUUUCCAAAGGGCUGGUAUUUUAAACCAUGGGAUUUACAAAAACCCCAGUCCUAUAACCAAGCAAUUUUGGAGUUGACAAAUUCCGCCACUUUCAAACAUUUCUACUUCCCAAACAAGGUCCAUCAAGACCCUGCAUAUUCCACCUGUAAAAUACAAAAAAUCUUGUCUCCAAGCCAAUAGGGUCAUGAUUUAGCAAAACCAAAAUCUCUUCCAAUUUCUUUCCAAACUCACAUUACAAAUUUUACAAUAUUUGGGACUACCAGCAAGCGUGGUUCAACACAUUCCUUAUGUAGAAUUUUGGAGGAAGCCACUUUUGACUUAUCAAUUUUGAUAAGAGAAGCCCAAUUACAAGUUCCAAAUUGGUUCUCACAAUGGUGGGAUUAUUUUGAGUUUCAUUUCUAUUCAAAAAAAUUUACGCCAUGAGUUUUGGCUUGGUACUUUGACUGCAACACAAAGCCCAAUGAUCUGACCAUUCUGACCCGCAAGUUCAAGGUUAUGGUGGAACAAGUACACGAUUAUCAAUGAAUGUUUCACAUAUGCGGUACAUAACUAGUUAGUCAAGAGAACCCACUUGAGCCCAUUAUAAAUCCAGCAACCUCAACAUUUUUGGUCCUGAAGUCUCAUGCCGAGACUCUCCCAGCCCAAGCCAAAAGUAAAGAGGAAUACUUUACAAUCAUGCAGCAACUACUUGGGACUAGGCCCAACUCGUUUGUUGCAUUAGCACAAUCAAACACAGACUCUGAACCUAUCAUAAAUUUAGGGGAUGGCAAUGAAGAUGAUUGUUUUGGUAUUUUUUUUCCUGUUCCAAAAAAAUAGACUCUAUCGUUUAAAUGUAUGUUUUGUUAUUGUUUUUAUUGUUAAAAAAAGUAUAAAACGAUAAGUGACAGCACCCACAUGGAGCACCACACCACAUGAAGUGCAACCUUAUCAUUUACAACAUAAUUGAAUCUCGUGACAAAGGCCCCAUCAGCUAGCCACUCAGACUCAGUUAUUCAAGCUAUUAUAAAAGAAGGUUCCAGACAGCUACCACUCAUCAUAAGAGGGUCCUUGCUAGCUACCAAUCCUUACAAUCCUCCAAAAUGAAGCACAUGGCCCUAGACCACAUGUUUUUAAUAAUGGAGAAGCAUCUUAUAAGACUUAAGGCUCUAUAAAAGGGUGGGGUGGGGGAGGAAUGCAAACAAAUGAAGAUUAAACAACCCUAAAGCCUAUUUGCACAUUCUCUUUCUUUUUCUCUCUGAAAAAAAAAGUUGCUAAGGCCUUCCUCUCCCCUUUUAUAGAGCCUUAGGUCUUAUAAGACACUACUCCAUUAUUGAAAGCAUGUGGUCCAGGGUCAUGUGCUUCAUUUUGGAGGUUUAUAAGGAUUGGUAGCUGGAAGGGACCCUCUUGCGAUGAGUGGUAGCUGUCUGGAACCUUCUUUAGUAACAAGUUGAAUAAUCGAGUCCGAGUGGAUGGCUGAUGGGGGCCUUUGCUAUGAGAUUCAAUUAUGUUUGUAGAUGAUAAGGUUGCACUCCAUAUGGUGUGGUGCUCCAUGUGGGUGCUGUCACUUGUCGUUUUAUACUUUUUUUUACAGUAAAAAUAAUAACAAAACAUACAUUUAAACGGUAGAGCCUAUUUCUUUUUGGGAACAGGGGAGAAAAUACCACAACAAUCAUCUUCAUUGUCAUCACCUAAAUUAAUGAUAGGUUCAGAGUCUGUGUCUAAUUGUGCUUAUCCAGCAGACGAGCUGGGCCUAGUCCCAAGUAGUUGAUGCAUGAUUGUAAGGUAUUCCUCUUAGCUUUUGGCUUGGGCUAGGAGAAUUUGGACAAAAAAUGUUAAGGUUGCUGGAUUUGUAAUGGGCUCAACAUGGGCUCUCUCUAGACUAACCAGAUAUGUACCGUAGAUGUGAAAUAUUCAUUUAUAGUCUUGUACUUGUCCCACCAUUUAACCUUGAACUUACGGGUCGGAAUGGUAAGACCAUUGGGUUUUGUGUUGUAGUCAAAGUACCAAGCCAAAACCCAUGACGUAAAUUUUUUGUUGAACAUAAGUGAAAAAGGGUAUCCAGCCUUUUUUUCUGAUCUGUUGGCUUGAAAAUAGUGAAAAAAUAGUUAUAUCCAUUUUAGGCCUAGGGAAUGAGAAUUUCCAGGAUGGCCCCCAAAAUAAUCCCACCAUUGUGAGAACCAAUUUGAAACACUUGUAAUUGAGCCAAAAGUGGCUUCCUCCAAAAUUCUGCAUAAGAACUAGGCUUGCUGUUAGUCCCAAUAAUUGUAAAAUUUGUAAUGUGUCUGGGUAGUUUGGAAAGAAAUGGAAAAUGUUUUGGUUUUGCUAAAUCUUGACCUCAUUGCCUUGGAGACAAGAUUUUUUGUAUUUUGCAGGUGGAAUAUGCUGGGUCUUGAUGGACCUUGUCUGGGAAGUAGAAAUAUUUUAAAGUGGCAUAAUUUGUCACCUCCAAAAUUGCUCGGUAGUAGGACUGAAGUUUUUGUAAAUCGCAUGGCUUAAAUAUCAGCCUUUUGGAAAAACAUUUUGUACUGCCACGAGGGGGGUUUUUUAUGAAAAAAUUCUUCAUAUAUGGUUAAUACAUUUUGAAAAUUUGUUUUCAGAAAAUAUUGAGAAACUAAUUUUGUAUUUUUUUGACUCAACACAGUCUGUAAAGAAUGUGUUGAGUCGCUUUGUAAAAAAAAUUAAGAAGCGGGUUUUUGUACUGAAAUUCCCUUCUUUUUGUUUGUAGAAACAAGUUCAGAUGUUAUACCUGAUGUUCCCGCCAGUGCUGGAUGAUUUGUAAGAUUUUGUAAUGCCAGUAGUAUUUCUGGCGAUUUGGAAAGAGAUGCUACCCAGUUUUGGAUAACUGAAGAACUUGGUUGAGUACUUGAAGAAAAACUCUUAUAAUUUGUUUUCGUUUUCUCCUUCUACGACCAUAUCAUGUCAAUCCAUGAUUUGAUUGGUUUUGUAAAGGGUAAUUGCAAUGGUUUUUUGUCCUUACCCUUUUUGGAAGGCAUCAGGACCUGUAUUGUAAGAACUCUCUGGUUAGGAAGUCUGAGAUGAAAUUUUUAUCUCCUUUGAUAUAUUCUAUAUCAAAAUAAAAAAAUACUCAAAAUAGCUUGCCAACGAGCAAAACUUUGUUUAAAAGCUAUAUUUUGUACAUCCUUUUGUAAAACUUCUUUUGCAAAUUUACAAUAAAUUCAUAAUAAAUCGCUUUGAAAUUUUGAAAUACACUUGACAAUGGAAAGAACUUCCUUCUUUAUUUUGGAGUAUUUUUUCUCGGUUUUAUUCCAGUGUGCAGAUACUGUAAUAUGCAUCCUUUUUAGUCUCGCAACUGUUUUAAAUUCCACCAAAACCUAAAUUUGAUGCAUCAGUUUCAACAAAUGUAUGUGAAGUUGGAUCAGCAAUAUGUAAGCAUGGAAUGCAUGAUACUUAUAAUUUAAUUUGGUGGACUAUUCAGGUGUGCUCGUCUGUCCACGGUGUUAGAUUUGUUUUUAACCUAUCAAGCAAUGGUUUAGCAAGAAGAUUAAAAUUUGAAAAAGAAUCCAAAAUAUAAUUUAGGCUUCCUAAGAACCUUUAUAAUUGUGUUUUAUCCAAUAUCUGAUCAGGAGAUUUAUUUAUAAAUUGUAAUGAUCGUUCGAUUGGUGUGACAGUUCCUUUUGAAAAAUAAUGAUCCAAGAAUCUAAUACGAGUUUGAAAAAGUGAUAUUUUGGUCUUAGAGACCACUAAAUCAUUUUUCUUUGUGACAUGGAAGAAUGUUUCAAGAUGUUUGAAAUGUUGUUCUAUUGAAUUUGAGUACACACUAGAACAUCAUUAGUGUAAAACGAUAUAAAAUUUAGAAAAUGGAUUAAAAAUGUCAUUGAUAAUCAUUUGAAACUCAGAUGGCGCAUUUUUUAGUCCAAAUGGCAUUACGUACCAUUCAUAUCCUCGAAAUGGAACUAUGAAUGCGGUUUUGUAACGAUGUUUCUGGUCAAUUUAUAACUGCCAGAAUCCUGAUCUCAUAUCAAAUUUUGAAAAAAUGAAUGCAAAAUGUAAUUUUUGUAAAAGGUCCUUUUUGUUAGGGAUGGGGUAUCUGAUCCAUCUAAGGGCUUUGUUCAAGGGUUUGUAAUUGAUAACUAAUCGUGGAACACCACGCUCUUGUUCGGAUGCCUUAGAGACAUAAAAGGCUGCACAACUCCAAGGUGAUCUAGAUUUGGAAAUUAUGCCUCCGUUAAGCAAAUCUUGGAUUUCUAUUGGACUAUGUUGUUCUAGGUAUUGGUUCAUUUGUAUAGGUCUGGCUUUUUUAGGGAUUUCCUUUUCAUCGAAAUCAACUUCGUAAGGUAGGUCGACUAUUGUUGUUUCCCAUCCCAAAAAGCAUCUGGUAAAUCUGAACAGAGAACCUUUUCAACUUAAUUUUGAAAAUCAGAAAUCUGCUGUUUUGUA